UUCUCCGCGGAUCCGCGGGGGCGCGUCGUGCAUGUACGGCGCUCGUCUCCGCGGUCCGCGGAGUGCGUGCACUCCUCCCUUAGUAAAACACCGCGACCCGUUGCUGGGUCGAACGCGUCGUGCGAUCGUCCCGUCUCGCGAGACGGAAUCGCGGCGUCGCGGCUCACGUGCGACGGUAACGAACGAGGUUCGUGUCCGCUAGAGUCCGCGUUGCGGSGGSGGUUCYCCUCGSSCGGUCGGSGCRCGUCKGCCGACAAGGGGCGCCGCGUCCGCUGYAUCKGCUCGGACRGGACRCGUCCCGGUCUGYGGUGGUUUGUUUCGGGCACUCWCAGGASCCGUCUUGW
rnacentral:rRNA from 1 species